UCAGUACUUAAUGGCGUUAUGCAGAUGCUCUAGGGUUCCCCAAUCUUUCGUCCAAGUUUCUACCCCAGUCGAGAUUCUUAUCUUUUCCAUUAAAUAUGUGGUUAGAAAGAAACGUGUAAAUGAUCUUGCAAUCAACUUGCUGUGCAAACAAAAAAUGUUGUCCCGAGCCAUGAGCAUGGGACCAUUUCCAUUUCACACCACAGAUUCGUAGAUCUACAUUGAUACUGAAUUUCAUUUCAACGUCAGAAAAUUGAAUACAACCAGGGAUACGAGGACCGGUGUUUGGUAAAAAAACCUUUGACAGAAAUCAAAGGAAAAAGGCCUACAUUUUAUCUGCCUCACGUUACAGCUGUCACAGUUCUAAAACAUCAGAUUCGUACAUAUAUAUAUUAAUACUGAAUUUCAUUUCAACCUCAAAAAACUGAAUACUAACAGGGAUAUGAGGACAGGUUCGGUAAAAUACCUUUGAUAGGAAUGGAAGGAAAAAGGCCAACGUCGUACGUACCUGCCCCAAUGACAGUUGUCACUGUUGUACAACAUCGAUCAGACGUCUGCUAUACUGGAAAAUGUUGUUGUUUUAUAAUGACUGGCAUAUUAGCACGGAAGAAUAAGGUCAUCUCCAAUCGAUCCGAUCAGAGGGUCAAAAAUAACCCGAAAUGACAUGAAAACUGUCUUCAACUUAGGGCUAGGCCAAAGAGCUCGUGGGCUCCAUCGGGCCAAAAAAGAGGAAUUAGGCCAAUCGGUUAGCCCAAAUGAGCCAACCAGCUAGCCCCGGGCCAUACACAGAAUGGCUUGCAAGCGGAAGGCGAAGGCCAUGACUCAGGAGGUAGCCGCGGCUAAUGAUGACAGAGAGGAAGCGAGGUUUCUUGGGAAAAAGCUUUUUCCCAACUUCAUCAAAUUUCAGGCUCUAAUUGAAAAUUUCGACCUCUGAUCAAAUCGAAAUUCGAAAUUUAGGGCUUGGAUUGGUGAAAUGGCGAUGCUUUUGGAGGAUAUUCUGAAGUCGGUGGAGCUCUGGUUAAAGAUGAUCAAGAAGCCCCAGCCUUACAUGGACCCAAAUCUCGACCCCGUUCUGCUAGUUUCGGGCAUCGCCGGUUCGGUCUUGAAUGUCGUCAAUGAAGAGAGUGGUGCAUAAUUAAACAAAAGCUAAUUUGUGGCUUUUCAUUCUCGUGUAGGUGCACCUGGAUAUGUCACUUCUACCUUUUUAAAUGGAAUGUCAUUUGUUGAUGGGUGGGAACAUAAUUUUUUUAUAUCAAAAUGGAGCAUGCACCAACUGCUUAUUGAGUGCCCAUCAGUCUAUGAAUUGAUGAAUUGUUGUUUUUAAAUUUAAGUUGUUAUAGUUUUUAUAUUAAAAUAAUAAAUUAUGUUUGGCCACUUGGCCCCCUCGAUUGGAGAUGGUUUUUUGUCACAAGGCUAUGUUUGGCCUAUGGUCCUUUGGCCCCUCGGUUGGAGAUGGUAAGGCCAUCUCUAACCGAAGGGUCCAGAGGGCCGAAAAUAGCCCGAAAACGCCCUCCAACUGAGGGUCAUGCCAAAGGGCUCGUGGGUCCCACUAGACAAAAAAUGGCCAAAAGGCCAACUGGCCGGCCCAAAUGAGCCAGCUAGCUGGCCUCGGGCCGGGCUCUAUUUUUGAAUCCCCAACGGCUAGCUAACAUCAGUUACAGUUGGCUUUUGAUUUUUUUUUUUGGGCCAAAUUUUUUUUUUAAAAUUCUCAUUUUUUCCUAUAAAUACCUAAACCAUUCCUUACAAAUUUUUCACCAUUCCUACACCAUUUCAAUUCUCAUAUUUUCUUACCUCUUCUAAAAAUAUUUCUUUCAAUUUUUUCAAUAAUUUUCAAAUGGCCUCGUCUGCAAUGAAAUGUAGGGCUUGGACCUGAAAAGAAGAUAAAGCUCUUUGCAGGGCUUAUAGAUGGGUGUCGAAAGAUAGUGUGAGGGUGAGUUCUUAAACAAGUGAAGGUGUUUGGACUUUUGUGUCCAAAAAAUACUUAGAGUUCUACGAAUGCACCACUCCACCAAAUAUCCGAAAUCACGAGAGUUGUUCUUCAAGAUGGAAGAAACAUCUUCAGCCAAGUUUGAACAAAUGGCACCAAGCACUAUUAGCAGUUACGAUGAAAUACGCCAAGCGGAGGAAUUGUAUAUGGAGGGUAGCUCGAAACCCUUUCAGUUUCACGGUUGUUGGGAAAUUUGUAAACGAUGGGUGUUAUUUGAAGAUCUACCUCAACAUAGAGUAAGUCAUACGCCGUUGUUUGAAACUGCAUCCUCAGCUGUAGAUAUGGAUGAAGAUGGAUCUCCUACCAUUCAACAAACAAACGUAGAAAAUCUGUCUUCGGGUGAAGGUUCCAUACCUAGGGCUAUGGGACGAAACAAGGCCCGAAGGUUAAGGAAAAGGGCAACGUAAAUGAUGAUUACGCCGCUCAACAGGAAGUGGCGGCCUCAUUGCGAUUAAUGGCGGAGCAAAAUGAUAUUGCCGCGGAAGAAAUGAACCAUAGGCAUGAAGAAUAGGCCAAACAAAUAAAAGAAGAGAUGGAUGAUAAGAAUAUGGAAAUGAACACUUCGAAUUACACUCCAAUGAGUAAGGCCUAUUUUGAUAGGAAAAAAAAAAGAUAUUAUGACUCGGCGGCAGUUGUUUACCUCUAACUAUACUCCUACA